UCCCUCUUUCUGCUUGUUUUCAGCUAGCUGGUGAAAGAUUUUGUGUAUCGGUAUUUCUUUUGCAAGUGUUCGACGAAAACAGAGUUUGCUGUUUCAUUGGAUUGACAGAGCAUAGUUGCAACAUGCCACGGAAAAAGUACUGGAGAAAAACAAGAUUCCAUAAGGAGACAAAAGGGGAUGGAAACGUGUCAAAAAACAAUGACAGUGACGAGUCUGGGACUGUUGUUUUUACAGAGAUAAGUACAGUUUCUGGACAUUUUCAUCAAGGACAUCCACAAUUUAUGCCAAACAGUGGAGCACAAUGUGUGGCUAAUAGUUGCUCAGCUAUUCUGUAUGAUAAAGUAAAGCCAGUUUCUAUGUGGACUAGUAAUGAUCUUGAUGCUGUAUUGAUUUCUGGUGAUGAAUUGUACUCUAGUGUUAAACCUAAUCUUCCUGCUGGUGAGACCCAUUUGCUCAUUUCAGACAUUCCAGAUGUGAUGGACAUGCACAAUGGUACUUUCAGUAUAAGGGCAGGUGAAUCUUUGACAGGUUAUGUACUUGGUAUUGUUCAUGCAGAUCUGCAGUCUGAUAUUUUCAUGCCACUGAGAGAUGCUCUUGAUAGAACACUAUCUGUGUUUACUUCGUGCCUUAUAACCUUCAAUUCUUCUACAUUUGCUAUCAUUAAACGAGACCAGUACUUAUAUGUCAUUGAUUCUCAUUCCAGGAAUGUAGAAGGUGUACAAGUUGUUGAUGGGACUGCUGUAAGCAUCAGAUACACAGGUAUAGAAGCGGUGUUUCAACACUGUACUCGUCUGGCUAUUUCACUUAACACUGUGACAGAGUUGGUACUAAGAUGAGGAGAGAAAGUCAAAUGCCUGAUUGUGUACCAUCCAGCAGUACACCAAUUCACCGGGUAGAAGAUAGAGUGAGUGCACGUGGUGGAAUCAGAAGACAGUUUCCUCUGAAGUUAAGUUAUGCUUGUACUGUACACAAGCUACAAGGUGUCACUCUUGACAGAGCAGUUGUUUCCCUGGACAAAAUAUUUGCUGCAGGCCAAGCUUAUGUGGCAUUAAGUCGUGUGAGAUCACUGGAGGGGUUGACCAUUCAGGAUUUCAAAGAGUCUGUUAUUUAUUGUAAUGAUAGUAUUACUGAAGCACUCUUGUCCAUGUCGCCUUUCCUGAACUUCACAUCUGAACACAACAAUGACCAAGAAGCUGGUUUCGUGGAAUUCAAGUUUAUUCUUCAUAAUGUACAAGGAUUAAGAUCUCAUAUUCAUGACAUCAAAGGGGACAAAAGAUUUACAACAUCACAUGCGAUCUGUAUUACAGAAACUUGGCUGUCUUCUGAUGAAUCAAGAGAAGGACAGUACUUAGAGGGAUUCACAUUUAACCAUAAGACGAGAUUUCAAAGCUAUGAUCAAAGCAAUCCGUUGUUCAAGGAGUUAAAACAACAAGCUCAUGGAGGGCAGCUUGUGAAAGAACCAACCACAGAAAACGGGACACUGAUUGAUCAUGUUUAUGUCAGACAUGUCCAUUUGAAAACAGUCAAAGUCAUCCCAACUUAUUUUAGCUACCACGAUGCCAUUAUGUCCAUAUUAUAAGAAGAGCAGGAGCUUAGGUCAUGGAAAUCUCAGUAAUUGUUGGCACUGGAGCUUGUGGGAGAAAAAAACUUUUGAUAUCUGCAACUGCAACUUCCUGUGAAGUGAAUCCCAGAAAUUCAGUGCUUAUCGAUGCAGCUCAAAUUGUAUCCCAGUUGUCUUCUAGUUAAUGCACUUCAGUGAUCAAUUUCUGAGGGUCUUGGUGGCAAGGUGGACGAUUAUGGCAGAAACAUGCUAUUGGACAUCAUUUGUUGGACACCUCCUGCAGUCCACCGCAGUAUAAUACAAGUGCUCUCCUCCUCUCACCAUUACCACUCUGCGUUUAUCUUCGGAUAGACACUGGCGGCUCAGGACCUUAUGGAAUGGACCAGUAUAUCCCGCAAAAAUGGAACAAAAUGGCAGCAAAGAACUCAAAAGUCGUAUAUGCCAUCUUAAGUCAGUAUCACUGUGGGUGAUGGAGAGUAACACUUCCAUCUAAACAAAUGUUACCUCUAGAACACUAAUACUGCGAAGAACUUGCGCAUGUGGUUUCUUUUUAUGACAACUUGACAAAUCUAUCUUAUAUGGUUAGAUCUGCUGAGAAGGAUGGUAAAAUGUUAGGUGUGCUGGGAAGCAUAAUUCGUGUGGCAAAUCAAGAAAAUCGCCAGAUCACAGAAGCUAUCGGCUGGCUGGAAAGUUGAAGAUACAACAUCUAGAUUGAAUUAAAUGAUGACCUAUAACAGCUACAGAAAACUUUCGCUAUUUCUAAUUCAGGUAUUAACCAUUCCGGAUGUGAGCCACGUGUAACAAGCCCUUUAUGAUAGUAACAUUUAUUGGUGGUAACACCUGAAUGAACUGUCUUGUAGAUACUUCACUAACUGUACCGUAACACCAUCAUGUAUGCGAAACUGAAACUGUAAUUCAAAAUUGAGGUAAUAUAUAUAUUCGCCUUACAUACCACAAAUCUCUGUGAGUUCAACUCCAGCUUAUGCUAUCUUCUUCUCUGUUUGUAAGUGGAAAGCUCUGGCUAUAAGUGGAAAGGUCCGACAGCAACCUGCAGAAGGUCGUGGGUUUCCCUAGAGCCCGGUUUCCUCCCACCAUAAUGCUGGCUGCCGUCGUAUAAGUGAAAUAUUCUUUAGCACGGCGUAAACACCAAUCGAAUAAGUAAAUAAAGACAUACCCCAAAGUAUGGACAUCUCUGAUUUUUGUAAGUACAAUUACAGUGGAUUUUUUUAGUCGCUCUGGCGGGCAACCAAGGCGUUCAACUCUGGUUCACCCCUCUCACCAUGGUUGCCACCCACUUUUUGUGACAUUUUGGUAUAUGAUCAUUUAACGUACAGUACAAUAAAAUGCAAUGACAUAAAAAAUAUCUGAUAAAAGUGAUUUUGUGAUUGGUGCUGAAAUGGUUAAAUACGUUUUGAUCCAUCAGUUAUGUUGCCUUUGAAUACCCUUUUGAAAAGUAUGAAACUAAAUUUUUAGGCAGCCAUAUUCAUUUUCAUUGAUGUACGGAUUGGGUGACAGCCAAAUUACAUUUUUGUGAACAGAAUUUUUCGGACAUGUAUUUUUUGACCAAAUUCAAAGCACGGUCGAUUCAUGAAUGAAAUGUACACUUUAUCCGAAUAUAGCCGACAUAUUUCCUGGAUGAUACAGAAGACGGCUUAUAUCGUAUAUGUAGUAGCAGAUUAGUCAAGUAUGUUUUGUACGGUAUAUUCGACCGUGAAUGUAAUAUUUGAUGUUAUAUUUUGUUGUUCUGUGAGACGACACUGUAGGAUGAAUUAAGUUUUGUAACAGAAGAUAUAAACCAAGAGAAAGGUCGUUAUUGAGCGAUUAUACAGUACGAAGCAUUUUAAUUUUUAUCAUGUACUGUGAAGAGUUCUUUUCCGUCGAGCCUCAGUAAGCGUCAUUUUCAUUUAGCUUGUUUAUGUACGAUUGGUAUAACUGUGUUAUGGCAAAGUAAAUCCAAAGGGCAGAACUCUUAAUCAGUGAUUGUUUCUCCCAAGGAAAGUUCGACCAUGGAAAGACUGCACUUUUGAGGACAUGCAUGCAAUCCUGGCUUUCCCGCCGAGCGAGUCACGCGGGCGCUCAAAUGCGACUUCACCCUUACGGGGUCGUCUCACAUUUUCGAAUGGUCAUUUAUCUAUUUCAAUUCUGUCGAUUUUCUAACCGUUCACGGGUCCCCCA